GAUGAACGCUAGCGGCGUGCCUAACACAUGCAAGUCGAACGUGAGAGGGUACUUGUAUCCUUGAAAGUGGCGGACGGGUGAGUAAGACGUAGGUGACCUGCCUUGAAGUGGGGGAUAACCAUUGGAAACGAUGGCUAAUACCGCAUAAGCUGGUGACGAUGGGAAUCGUUAACAGGAAAGCUUUAGUGCUUUGAGAGGGGCCUACGGCCGAUUAGCUAGUUGGUGAGGUAAAGGCUCACCAAGGCGAUGAUCGGUAGCUGGUCUGAGAGGACGAUCAGCCACACGGGAACUGAGACACGGUCCCGACUCCUACGGGGGGCAGCAGUGAGGAAUAUUCGGCAAUGGGGGCAACCCUGACCGAGCAACGCCGCGUGGAGGAUGACGGUUUUCGGAUUGUAAACUCCUUUUCUCAGGGAAGAGCGAGGACGGUACCUGGGGAAUAAGUCACGGCUAACUACGUG
rnacentral:rRNA from 1 species